rnacentral:rRNA from 1 species
GACGAACGCUGGCGGCGUGCCUAAUACAUGCAAGUAGAACGCUGAAGGAGGAGCUUGCUUCUCUGGAUGAGUUGCGAACGGGUGAGUAACGCGUAGGUAACCUGCCUGGUAGCGGGGGAUAUCUAUUGGAAACGAUAGCUAAUACCGCAUAAUAGCAGUUGUUGCAUGACAACUGUUUGAAAGGUGCAAUUGCACCACUACCAGAUGGACCUGCGUUGUAUUAGCUAGUUGGUGGGGUAACGGCUCACCAAGGCGACGAUACAUAGCCGACCUGAGAGGGUGAUCGGCCAAACUGGGAAUGAGACACGGCCCAGAAUCCUACGGGAAGCAGCAAUAGGGAAUCUUCGGCAAUGGGCGGAAGUCUGACCGAGCAACGCCGCGUGAGUGAAGAAGGUUUUCGGAUCGUAAAGAUCUGUUGUAAGAGAAGAACGAGUGUGAGAGUGGAAAGUUCACACUGUGACGGUAUCUUACCAGAAAGGGACGGCUAACUACGUG